UUUUUUUUUUUUUUUUUUUUUUUUGCAAUAGCUUUAAUCAACAGCAACAACAAAAUGGUAAUCACAUUGUAUAAAGCAGUCCUCCAAACCAAUAAGAAAAGCUAAACAGUUUAACAGCAAAAAGACCUAAGGAAAUGAUCUAAUAUUCAGUUAAUGCAAAAGGACCCUAAGAUGGCCAGGACACAUGGCAGGAGCUCAACUCCAUCAGUGAUUAAUAAAAAGCUUCCUAAAACAAAUUCUCCCUUGGCUGCUUCGUCUUUUUUUUCUUUAGAGCCAAACCUGUGGCAUAUGGAAGUUCUCAGGCCAGGGGUCGAAUUGGAGCUGCAGCUGCUGGGCUGCAGCACAGGCACAGCAAUGUGGGAUCCAAACUGCAUCUGUGACCUAUACCACAGCUUGCAGCAAAGCCGGAUCCUUAACCCACUGAGCCAGGCCAAGGAUCAAACUAGUCCUCAUGGAUACUAGUCCGGUUCAUUACCACUGAGCUACAGUGGGAACUCCUUCUCUUGGCUUCUUAUAGUUGGGUUUCUCGCCAUACCUUGUUCCUCCAAAGGUCAGUCAAUGUCGAAUUCAAUAGGUUUGCUCCCUAUCCUUAUCCUUCAUCUCUCUCCUUGGGACUGCCCUGCAGUGUUUAUCACAGUACCUUUUCUCUUUGCCUUGAAUCUCUGCUAAGCUGACGUCCAGGUACUACGCCCACCUGUGGCUCCUCCCGUCUUCUGUACUGAUGCCAUGCGCCUUCUUCCACGCCUUGACCUUCUCUCCCCAUUUCCGGGUCAAGGUGCAUUUUAAUGUUGAGGCCUCGGUCACAUUCUCUUCUUUCAACUCACUCUCUCCCCUGGCCUACUCCCAACCUUCAUGCUUCAAUGCUCUCUUCCGAGUAGAUAACAAAUAUAUCUCCCUGGCCUGAUUGUCUCCCGAGCCCAGGGCAAGCAUUGCCACUUGGAAAUCACUGAAGAGCCUCAAAGGUAAUAUAUCCCAAGCACUACACAUUCUCUUCACACACACACACACACACACACACACACACACACACACACGCUCAUGUCCCUCGAUCAAAGAAACAACUUGUUUCUCCUCUUGGCUUCCCUAUGACUGGUAAUAAUACCAUGACCCUUCCAAUUUUUAUUUUCCCUUCAUUUAUAUCAGUCUCUGUACAAUUGUUCUGAGGUUUCCAGAAAUACUGUGGCACUCUGAACAUGGUCAGACUCCCACAAGAGUAGGUAAGACCCUUCCAGUGAGAUGUACUUUCUUGCCAUUACUGCGGCCCCAGCUUUAGACAGGGGCUAUUGAGUCCUGUGGAGGUCUGAUCUAUAUUCAAUUCUGCGGGCUGAGACCCUCAUAGCAACGAUAGCAAAAACAUAAGUAGCAGACAAAUUAGGAAUAUAGAUAACUAUAGAUGCAACGAGGCCUGGGCUUACCCUCUCUCUCCUAUGCUGUUUGUUUGGGGAUAUAGGAUUUCCAAACUAAUUCCAUUUUUUUUUUUUCCAGAGGCUCUAGUAGAGCCUCACACAUAGCCAGCUUUCUAUAAAUGUUGUUGAGUGAUGGAAUUUACCUGAGUGAUUAUCUCCCAUAAAACCCAAUACCCUUGCCAUCGAGGAUCUGCAAAUAAGCAGCUGAUGCUUAUUCUCUAUGACUCAGCCCCCCAGAAAAUUCAUUCACGGCGCAGCCAGAGAGCACAAUAAUGGCCAUACGUAAAAUUUGCAGCUGGUGGGGGCUUGAGAGAUGACCCUUCACUCCAUUGAUGAGGAGGCAGACAUUCCGAGACUUCCAGGGAUUUCCCCAGGGGCCCCUGUGUGGUCCCCAUGCAUGCUAGCUGCUUCGAUUUCUCUUUAGAAAUGAUAGCAUGGGGCUCUGAUGGCCAUUCCUAGGAUGGGUAGGGGUGGCCUUCCUCGAGCUGACUUGCCUGCCUUGAGUGUGUGUGUGUGUGUGUGUGUGUGUGUUUCAGGGGUGGUGCCAUCCCAUUGCUCAUUUUUUUUUGUCUAUUUAGGGCCACACCUGUGGCAUACGGAAGUUCCCAGGCUAGGGGUAGAAUCAGAGGAGCAAAUGAGGCCUACAUGACAGACAGAGCCAUCCCAGAUCUGAGCUACAUUUUCGACCUACACCACAGCUUGUGGCAAUACUGGAUCCUUAACCCACCAAGUGAGGCCUGUAUCCUCAUGAACGCUAGUUGGGUUCUUAACCCACUGAACCACAAUUAGAACUCCCCAUUGCACAUUUUUAGGCGUGAUAUCCACCCUCUGUGCUGUGGAAAUACUGCCUGGCCACACAGCAUCUCAGGAUAACUUUAGGGGGGUGCGUCCUUGGGGUCUGGAGAGCCCCAUACAGGAAGGAGAGAAGAGAAGAAGAGUUCAAGGCUUGUCGUGCAUGAUGAUAUGAAAUUUGGGGUGUAUCUCCUCAUUCAUAUGCAGCCCAAGUGUAUGUUCUGUUCUCAAGGACUCUGCUGGGAAGUGAUGGCUUCUUUCAAUAAAGGAAACCUCACUGGAUGGCUGACAAUUGGUGUCCAUCACGUAGUCAACGUCUCUUUGUUGCUGUGCCUUGUCUUUAUGUAGAAGAUCAUAUACAGCAAGAUAGACCAGGAGGACAAGUUUGUUUUAUGUCAUAUGUAGUAUAAUUUAUUUUAUGAGGGAGAGAGCGAAAGAGAGCAAAAGAGAGACACUGUGUGUGUGUGUGUGUGUGUGUGUGUGUGUGUGUAAGAUGGUUCCCUAGAUAUAGCCCAAGGUCCAGGCUUCACACAGGUUGCUGAUGGCUCCAGGAGAUGUUGUGUGGCCUAGGAAGGCCUUUGGAAUCUGGGCUGUUUAUUCACAGAGCCGGGGAACAGGCUCAGAUUGCGCAUGGGGUCCAGGCAAGGGGUAGGGGCAGAUUUCAGGCAUGGCGGAGGCGUGGGGGCCCCCAUCUCCCCAGUGUUCAGGUCUCCGCCAUCACAUGAAGUCCCCUUGAUCUCAGGGAUCUUGUUCUCUGACCACUUGGUACUCACUGCAUAUGGCCUCCCUGGGCCAUGGUCACAUAGGCUGGGGCAUCAGAGGGAUGUUCAGGACGCAGCAGGAGGAGACAGAGGGUUAGCCAGAUGGAGGCACCUACACAAAUUCCCCUUCGUGGCUGCAGUUAGCAGGAUACUACACAGCCAGGCUCCCCAAAUGCUUAUCCUCUGCUGGGCCAAUUUGCCAGCCCUGCAC
ensembl:lncRNA